CAAAGGCCUGUGAAACGCAGUUUCUUUAGGCCUGAUCUGGCUGAAGUAGGACUUCUGCUCUGGGUGUGCUACAUUGCCCUAGAGCUGAAAGGCACAACGUGCAGGCUUCUUUCCAAAGGGCGAGUUGGGCCCCACAGCAUCUUGCUUCCAGCUCUUUGGGAAGCUAAGAAACAACUCGCUCUGCACAGUGCUCUUACAGCCUACAGGGAGCAUCUCUUCCAAAGGCCUGUGAAACGCAGUUUCUUUGCAGGCCUGAUCUGGCUGAAGUAGGACUUCUGCUCUGGGUGUGCUACAUUGCCCUAGAGCUGAAAGGCACAACGUGCAGGCUUCUUUCCAAAGGGCGAGUUGGGCCCCACAGCAUCUUGCUUCCAGCUCUUUGGGAAGCUAAGAAACAACUCGGUCUGCACAGUGCUCUUACAGCCUACCGGGAACAUCUCUUCCAAAGGCCUGUGAAACGCAGUUUCUUUGCAGGCCUGAUCUGGCUGAAGUAGGACUUCUGCUCUGGGUGUGCUACAUUGCCCUAGAGCUGAAAGGCACAACGUGCAGGCUUCUUUCCAAAGAGCGAGUUGGGCCCCACAGCAUCUUGCUUCCAGCUCUUUGGGAAUCUAAGAAACAACUCGCUCUGCACUGUUGUUUUACACCCUACCGGGAACAUGUCUUACAAAGGCCUGUGAAACGCAGUUUCUUGCCAGGCCUGAUCUCGCUGAAGUAGAACUUCUGCUCUGCCAUGUCCUAUAUGGGCCGAGAGCUGCAAGGAACAAAGCCAUGCCUUUUUCUCUCACUUGCAGACAAGUCCCUCAGCCUCAAGCUUCCAGCUCUUUGGCAGCUAAGAAACAACUAGCUCUGCAUAGGGCUCUUUCAGCCUAGCGGGAACAUGUCUUACAAAGGCCUGUGUAACGCAGUUUCUUCCCAGGCCUUAUCUCGCUGAAGUAGAACUUCUGCUCUGCCUUGUCCUACAUGGGCCUAGAGCUGCAAGGCCCAAAGUCCUGCCUUGUGUUCUCAAGGGCAGACAGGCCACACACUGUGGGGCUUCCAGCUCUUUGGGCACCUAAGAAGCAACUCGCUCUGCACUGGUGUUUUCCACCCUACCGGGAACAUGUCUUACAAAGGCCUGUGAAACGCAGUUUCUUCCCUGGCCUGAUCACGCUGAAGUAGAACUUCUGCUCUGCUGUGUCCUCCAAGGGCCUAGAGCUGCAAGGAACAAAGUCCUGCCUUGUCUUCUCAAGGGCAGACAGACCACACAGUGUGGGGCUUCCAGCUCUUUGGGUACCUAAGAAACAACUCGCUCUGCAUAGGGCUCUUUCAUCCUACCGGGAACAUGUGUUACAAAGGCCUGUGAAACGCAGUUUCUUCCCAUGCCUGAUCUGGCUGAAGUAGAACUUCUGCUCUGCCGUGUCCUAUAUGGCCCUAGAGCUGUAAGGAACAAAGUCCUGCCUUGUGUUCUCAAGGGCAGACAGGCCACACAGUCUGUGGCUUCCAGCUCUUUGGGAAGCUAAGAAACAACUCGCUCUGCACUGUUGUUUUACACCCUACCGGCAACAUGUCUUACAAAAGCCUCUGAAACACACUUUCCUGCCAGGCCUGAUCUGGCUGAAGUAGAACUUCUGCUCUGCUGUGUCCUAUAUGGGCCUAGAGAUGCAAGGAACAAUGUCCUGCCUUUUUCUCUCAAUUGCAGACAACUCCCUCAGACUCAAGCUUCCAGCUCUUUGGGCAGCUAAGAAACAACUAGCUCUGCAUAGGGCUCUUUCAGCCUAGCGGGAACAUGUCUUACAAAGGCCUGUGUAAUGCAGUUUCUUCCCAGGCCUUAUCUCGCUGAAUUAGAAUUUCUGCUCUGCCUUGUCCUACAUGGGCCUAGAGCUGCAAGGCCCAAAGUCCUGCCUUGUGUUCUCAAGGUCAGACAGGCAGCACAGUGUGGGGCUUCCAGCUCUUUGGGCGGCUAAGAAACAGCUCGCUCUGCACUGCUGUUUUACAGCCUACCGGGUACAUGUCUUACAAAGGCUUGUGAAAGGCAGUUUCUUCUCAGGCCUGAUCUCGCUGAAGUAGAACUUCUGCUCUGCCGUGUCCUACAUGGGCCUAGAGCUGAAAGGCCCAAAGUCCUGCCUUGUGUUCACAAGGGCAGACAGGCCCCACAGUGUGGGGCUUCCAGCUCUUUGGGAAUCUAAGAAACAACUCGCUCUGCACUGUUGUUUUACACCCUACCGGGAACAUGUCUUACAAAGGCCUGUGAAACGCAGUUUCUUCCCAGGCCUGAUCUCGCUGAAGUAGAACUUCUGCUCUGCCGUGUCCUACAUGGGCCUAGAGCUGCAAGGCUCAACGUCCUGCCUUGUUUCCACAAGGGGAGAGAACUCCCUCAGCGUCCAGCUUCCAGCUCUUUGGGCAGCUAAGAAACAACUAGCUCUGCAUAGGGCUCUUUUAGCCUACCGGGAACAUGUCUUACAAAGGCCUGUGAAACGCAGUUUCUUCCCAGGCCUGAUCUGGCUGAAGUAGAACUUCUGCUCUGGGUGUGCUCCAUUGGCCUAGAGUUGCCUGGCCCAAAGCUCUGCCUUGUUUGCAAAGGGGCAGAGAGGCCCCAAAGCAUCUUGCUUCCAGCUCUUUGGGAAGCUAAGAAACAACUCGCUCUGCACAGUGCUCUUACAGCCUACCGGGAACAUCUCUUGCAAUGGCCUGUGAAAUGCAGUUUCUUGGCAGGCCUGAUCUGGCUGAUGUCGAUCUUCUGCUGUGCCGUGUGCUACAUUGCCCUAGAGCUCCAAGGCACAAAGUCCUGCCUUGUUUGCUCAUGGGGAGAUAGGCCCCAAAGCAUCUUGCUUCCAGCUCUUUGGGAUUCUAAGAAACAACUCACUCUCCACAGUGCUCUUACAGCCUACCAGGAACAUCUCCUACAAAGGCCUGUGAAACGCAGUUUCUUUCCAGCCCUGAUCUUGCUGCGUUAAAACUUUUGCUCUGAGCCGCGUCUUGGCAGAUAUUCGAGGAGUCUUAUUUACUCUCCUUAUGGAUGAGGAAAAGUCAGCUGUUCUAUUAAAUGCUAGAGAAGAAGCAUAUUAUGAAUAUGACCCAAUAUCAGCCAUUGGCAGACUUAGUGAACAGCCUCUGCCAGAGACCGAUGCUGUGUGAAUCCCAGUGAUCCUGAUGAUCAUGAAGAGGAAGACAAGAAGAUGAAAAAGCAAGCCACCCUGUUUUGUGUGGCCCUUCAAGUCUGUUCAAGGUAACCUGAGGAAGAGAAGGAGUGAGUGACCUCAGCCUCCAACCAGUGACCAGAAAGCCACCAACAAAUUUUGGUGUGUGUACUGCAAACUGGAAGGGCAUUGGCAGCAGGACUGUCCCAACCAUCGCCUGAGAGUUAAGAGAUUGAACAGGGUCAAGCCACGGCAUCUUCUCUUGACCACGGAUGAGAUGUGACAGGGCCAUGUGGCUCCCCAGUUGGCUCUAGGGGUGACCUUGGCAGUAGGAGGAGAACAUGUUAAAAUUUUUGGUCAAUACUGGAGCCACAUUCUCGGUGCUGAAUACCAAAAAGAGAAACCUUUCAAAAAGUUAAAGAUGUAGCCUCAAAGGUGUAUCAGGCAAAGGGGAGACCAAAAGUUUUCUGGAGCCCCUUGACCUAUGAAACAGGAUAAAAAGUACUUAAGCGUUUCUUUCUGUAUGUACCAGAAUGCCUUGUUCCCCCUCUAGGGAGGGACAGGCUAUCUAAGCUAGGGGCCUCAAUAAGCUGGGGAAAAGAUAAAGUAGAGAUCCAAGAUCCCAAAAAUUUGGGAAUUGGGCUUAUGGCCCUAUUACAGGAUACACCAGCACCUGAGAAGGAAGAGAUUCCACUAAAUAUUUUAAGUUAAGCUAACUCAGAAUUAUAGGCACAAGGACAGGUGGAGUGAGCAGCCAGUGCCAUGUCAGUAAAGGUAAAACUGAAGCAGGCAGUUUGCUGGCCCCGGGUAAGACAAUACCCCCCCGAAGCCAGAAGCCAUAAAGAUGAAUCUUUCUUGUAAUCAAUACGUUUUUAGAACUGGGGAAUGUAGGUUUGUUCAAGACCGUAGUGCUGUCAAUGCUGUACAGUACUGGAUUUAUAAUAGUAAAUAUCCUUUUUGUUUCUGGCACAGAGAUCCAAAAACUCUUGUAAUUUCCCACAUAAGAGCCAUAGAGUCAUAUUUUGUUAUAAUAAUUACUUUAGUCCUCAGUUCCUGAAAUUACUCCAGAGCAAUAAAGGGGAAAGAGCUGUCUUUUGUUAUUCCUAACAAGACCCUUUCAACCACAUUGAAUUUAUGUUAAUAAGGUGACAUUUGGAAAGCCCCUAAGGGUGGAGGCUGGUGUGUGGGAAAAUAGGGAAAGCUAUUUUGUGAUUCAGGGUUGGGAUUUUCAGCCCCAUCCCCCUCUCCAUAGGUCCAGGAUGAGGAGAGGGCUGAAGAUUGAGUUCGAUUGUCAAAGGCCAAUGACGUAAUCAACUGUGCCUAUGUAGGGGGGUCUCCAUUAAUAUCCAAAGGGAUGGGCUUCAGAGAGCUUCUGGGUUGGUAAACACCCAGGGAGAUUUGGGGAGAGUGGCAUGCCCAGAGAGGGUCUGGGAGCUCCAUGUCCUUGCCCCACGUAUUUUAC
rnacentral:lncRNA from 1 species